GUGAGGAAUAUUGGUCAAUGGGCGGAAGCCUGAACCAGCCAAGUCGCGUGAGGGAAGACGGUCCUAUGGAUUGUAAACCUCUUUUGUCGGGGAGCAAGGAUCCGCACGAGUGCGGAGGCGAGAGUACCCGAAGAAAAAGCAUCGGCUAACUCCGUGCCAGCAGCCGCGGUAAUACGGAGGAUGCGAGCGUUAUCCGGAUUUAUUGGGUUUAAAGGGUGCGCAGGCGGAGGAUCAAGUCAGCGGUAAAAUAGCGGGGCUCAACCCCGUCGAGCCGUUGAAACUGGUUUUCUAGAGUGAGCGAGAAGUAUGCGGAAUGCGUGGUGUAGCGGUGAAAUGCAUAGAUAUCACGCAGAACUCCGAUUGCGAAGGCAGCAUACCGGCGCUCAACUGACGCUCAGGCACGAAAGCGUGGGUAUCGAACAGG
rnacentral:rRNA from 1 species